rnacentral:tRNA from 1 species
AUGGCUCAGUGGCAAGGCAUUUGCUUUGCAUGUAAAAGGUCCCAGGUUCAAUCUCUGGCAUCUGUA